rnacentral:rRNA from 1 species
GCCUAGCCAUAACCUACAAUUAAAUCACCAAUUGUCCGCCAAACAACUACGAGUUAUACUUAAAACUUAAAAGACUUGACGGUGCUUCACCACGCCCUAGAGGAGCCUGUCCAGUAACCGAUAAUCCACGAUUAAUCCAGCCCCCUCUAGCCUAACAGUCUAUAUACCGCCGUCGCCAGCUUACCUUGUAAAAGAAAUAAAGUGAGCCAAAUAGCACCACACUAAAACGACAGGUCGAGGUGUAACUAAUGAGGGGGACUAAGAUGGGCUACAUUCUCCUGACCGAGAACACGAACAACACUGUGAAAUCAGUGUUCAAAGGCGGAUUUAGCAGUAAGAUAAGAAUAAAACACUUAACUGAACAUAACGCAAUGAAGUGCGUACACACCGCCCGUCACCCCUGCCACCACUAACACACAUUUAAUAAACCAAUCAAAACCACAAACCAGGGCAAGUCGUAACAUGGUAAGUGUACUGGAAAGUGCACUU